CGCUGAAGCAUUUUCGGGUGUGGAUGAGUGGCGAACGGGUGAGUAACACGUGGGUAAUCUGCCCUGCACUCUGGGAUAAGCCUUGGAAACGGGGUCUAAUACCGGAUAUGACACUGGAUCGCAUGGUCUGGUGUGGAAAGUUCCGGCGGUGCAGGAUGAGCCCGCGGCCUAUCAGCUUGUUGGUGGGGUAGUGGCCUACCAAGGCGACGACGGGUAGCCGGCCUGAGAGGGUGACCGGCCACACUGGGACUGAGACACGGCCCAGACUCCUACGGGAGGCAGCAGUGGGGAAUCUUGCGCAAUGGGCGAAAGCCUGACGCAGCAACGCCGCGUGGGGGAUGACGGCCUUCGGGUUGUAAACCUCUUUCGACAUCGACGAAGGCCCCUUUGGGGUUGACGGUAGGUGUAGAAGAAGCACCGGCUAACUACGUGCCAGCAGCCGCGGUAAUACGUAGGGUGCAAGCGUUGUCCGGAUUUAUUGGGCGUAAAGAGCUCGUAGGCGGUUUGUUGCGUCGGCCGUGAAAACCUGCAGCUUAACUGUGGGCUUGCGGUCGAUACGGGCAGACUUGAGUUCGGUAGGGGAGACUGGAAUUCCUGGUGUAGCGGUGAAAUGCGCAGAUAUCAGGAGGAACACCGGUGGCGAAGGCGGGUCUCUGGGCCGAUACUGACGCUGAGGAGCGAAAGCGUGGGGAGCGAACAGGAUUAGAUACCCUGGUAGUCCACGCCGUAAACGUUGGGCGCUAGGUGUGGGGAUGGGUUCCACUGUUUCCGUGCCGUAGCUAACGCAUUAAGCGCCCCGCCUGGGGAGUAC
rnacentral:rRNA from 1 species